UGAUCCAUUUUGUGUUGCUACAACAAAAUACCUGAAGCAGAGACUGUGAACGAAAUUGUGAACGAAAUGCUGGCAUUUGUUUGGUUCUGGUGAGGGCCUCCUAGUGGAUGGCCACACAAUGGUGAGAAUGUGUGCAGGUGAGGUUACCUGGUGAGAUAGGAAGCUGUCAGCACUGGAGUAGUCAAACUUAACGUUAUAACAACCCAUUCUUCAAAGAACUAAUUUAUUCUAUGAUACCAGUAUCAGUUUCUCCCAAAGAAGAUACCUUAUGACUUAAUUACCUUCCAAAAAACCCCACCUCUUAAAGAACCCAACACCUCUCAACACUGCCACACUGGAGACCGAGGGUCCAGAGCAUGAAACUCUGGGGGAAUGAACUUAGUCUACAUCCAAACCAGAUAAAAGGUGCAGGUUAGAACCACCAUGCUAUUGUCUUUGGUCUGGAUCAUUGAUCACCCUCCUAAUCUGAGCUGUGUGUCUAACAUUGAUUCCUCCAACCCAUGUAGUAGCUAGAAUGAGCUUCUUGACAUUGUGGCUUCACUCUGUCACUUUCCUCUUAAAACCCCACAGGACACAUAAUUGGAAAAUGGGAGAGGGGCCAGAGAGCUUCUGUUUACUCUGCAACGUUUGAUGUUCUUGCUAGGCAAUGGCUUCAGAAGUAUUAUUAAUACUAGUUGUGUGUUUCUCACCUAAAAAGCACCUGGGGAGGGACCAAGGACAUCGUUGUUUAUUGAUGAUCCUGAUGACCUGCAAACUGUGUGGAGGGAGACAGCAUCCUCCAGGGUGGCAGCUCCAGGAGGACUUGGAAUCCAUUCUCAGGGUCAUCCCAGACUUCACAAAGGCAACGUGGUCCAGAAAGAAACCAAAACUUGUGUUCAUGAAUCGGGGUCUUUAUUUCCCAUGUAGCGUUUGACAGUUUUCCCAAAGAGAAAGAAAACAAGUAGGAAAAAGUGGGAAAUUCUCCAAUUCCCAUUCAGUUAUAGCAAGGGAGAAAACUGGUCUCCAUGCUUAGUUUCUGGAUUUAAAUGCACGGGCAGGUACUAAUUGUCUCCCAGGCCAGAGGCCCCGUUCUAAUUUAUGGAGAGAAGGGCCAGGAGGUAAAUCUCUAUGUCAUUUUCUAAGCCACCUAAAAUAAGCCCAUUAAACUACCGCCCAUGAAUGGAGGUGUUUUUCCCGGUGUUACGCUGGAACCCCCUCUCCCAUCCCCAGCAGCACCCAGGGCACUGCAGCCCUGAGAUCCCGAGGGCACAUCUCACAAUGGGGCAUUCAGGAUAGCCUUCCUAGAUGGGGUAGGAAACCUGUUUUAUGCCCUGUUAAUUACUUCAACAAUUUAUAAAAUUCAUGACAAACAUAAAGUCCUUACAGAGAUUGUAUUUCAAAUGGUAUUUACCUGUAACAGAAUCUCCUUUGUUUGUAAUUCCUGGAUUUAUGAGCUGUUGCACAACAAAAUGGAACUGCCCCUUGUCCCCAUGGGGGGCACUGGCAAGGGGACCUCAAAUAUACCAUGGAGACAGAAACAUAUUCAGGUUCAGAUAUAGGAACUGCAGUUCCAGACCUAUCUCUGGUCCCCAGUGCCUCUCAGUCCACAGCAUGGGAACUUGGGGUCUUGAAGGGCAUGGAGUUGCACCAGGACAGGUUAAGUUUUCUGCCAGGCCGUCUUGGGACCUCUGGACAUAAGGUAUUUUGACUUUGUAUCCAUAUGGGAAUUUUCUCUUCCUCUAUCUGUUUGUAUACUCCAGUAACAGGGAGCUCCUUACCUGGCAAGGCAGCCAGGAUGAUUCCCAUUAUCUCUUGUCUUAUCCUUUUCUUCUCUUCCCUUACCUUUUCCUUGGCUGCAAGAGUGAUUUUUAAAAAAUUUAGAUCUGACAUUGUUUUACUUCUGCCUAAAAACUACUCAGUAACUUCUCUUUGCUUCCAUAACAAAUCCAAACUCUUUAAUGAACCCUGCAUGUUCUUCACAUGGUUGUCCCUGCUG
rnacentral:lncRNA from 1 species